GCUUGUACCCGAUUAAAACAUCCGCGAAAAAAUUCAACUCUUCUCUUUCUCUCCAACCCCUGUAGCAGUCUCUCCGAACUCACCACCCAGUCGCCCUUAUCGUCGUUCUUGAGGGGGAUUUAGGGGUUUUUUUAGGUGUUUUGUUCUAUUUGGGUGCCGAGAUGUUGAGUUCGGAGGGAUUGUGUUCUUCUCCGCCGCCGAAGCAGUAUGGCGUAACGAAACCGAUA
rnacentral:misc_RNA from 1 species